UUAGAGAGGCUACAUGAUGGCAAAUCAGAGCUUUUUCAGCAAUUUAAUUCUUUAUUAACAGAAAUGGAUGUGAAGCAAUGACAAAUUUCACCUCUAAAUAUUUGCCCUUUGUUGUUGAAGCUUAUUCCCAGUGUACUUUGAAAAAAAAGUUACUGCACAGCUCUGAUAGUGACAUUAUGUUCAAAUAGUAAGAGGAGGACAGUGCUCACAUCUAUUAAAGUAAAAACAUAUUUAAAAUGUGCUGAAAUAGAAGACAACUUCAUUAAGUUUGCAGACACAGACAGUUGGAGACAUCACAGAUGAGGAGUCAUUCCUGUUAUAUUGCUUUGACGUCAGCUUGAAGUCUGCCUGAUGAGUGCAUGCGCAGUUGGUGCAUUGUAAUGUAAAGUCUAAACGGAUAAUUCUGCACACUCACAGAAAAUUGGGACGGCGACAUCUGCUCAAGCGCUCUGUCUGAAGACAAAAUUGGCAUCACCCGGGCCUAAGUGGAGCCUAACAAUCUCACAGAUGCGGACACUAUAAUAUACCUCUCAUGCUGGGAGGAAGAAAUUUAUGUAUGAUGUUACAAAACAUUGUACUAAGAUUAUCUUAUCCGGAUUCAACUUCCAGACCAGCAGUUACUACAAACAAAAACUCCUUCAAACUCAGUUGCCCAGUUAACGUCAGCUCAGGGGAAUUUUUUUUGCUAACAACAACAGAUUUUCAACUCGGAAAGUUCCGAUUUCAUAAUUCAAAAUGGCAGCAGUUUUGGCAAAAAACAAGAAAAAAAGCAGGCAUUGUGUUAAAUUACUGCUGAUACAUACAUGGCUCUUCUUUGCUUCGGAGCAAAGCAAAUCCUAUCCUGCAGAAAUUCACUAUGGUGGAAGUAAAACUUAAGCAGAACAUGAAAGAAAACUAACCUUCAAAGAAAAAAAAACAAGAAAUAAAAGAAUAGACAACUAACAUUAUAGACAAUAAAUAUGAAAUCAGAGGUUACAAGUCCACAGAUGAAACAGAAGGAAAACAGACAGGAAAUGCUAAGGAAACUACACACAUGAGAAGGAAAAAUAAAGUCUGCACAGGAACACCCUCAAUAAAAUCGGAAAUUCAUAAAAAUUAAAUAUAAAACCAUUAAAGUGAUCCAAAAAGGAUCUCAAAAUGUCAUAAAAAGCCCCAUCAGAACUCAAAUAAUACCACAAAGCUCAGCAUUGGUAAAGACAGGAAUGAAAAGAGGAAUCCAGACCGAAAUCCAACACAAAAGCCUGUGUCUC
ensembl:lncRNA